rnacentral:tRNA from 1 species
GAGAGAGGCUCGCCGCAACAAAGACUGCUAAUCUUUGCCCCCUCGGCUAAACUCCGAGGCUCACUCG